rnacentral:rRNA from 1 species
UACGUAGGGUGCGAGCGUUAUCCGGAAUUAUUGGGCGUAAAGAGCGCGCAGGUGGUUGAUUAAGUCUGAUGUGAAAGCCCACGGCUUAACCGUGGAGGGUCAUUGGAAACUGGUCGACUUGAGUGCAGAAGAGGGAAGUGGAAUUCCAUGUGUAGCGGUGAAAUGCGUAGAUAUCGGGAGGAACACCAGUGGCGAAGGCGGCUUCCUGGCACAAUACUGACGCUCAUGUGCGAAAGCUAGGGCAGCGAACGGGAUUAGA